GGGCGCGUAGUGGAGUGGUUACCACGUUGGUCUUCGAUCCAGAAUUCGCAAACCAAAGUUCGUCGGUUCGAUCCCGGCCGUGCUCA